rnacentral:rRNA from 1 species
UGGUGUUCCCGAGUAGCAGCGAGCUCGUGGAAUUUGCUGUGAAUCUGCCGGGACCACCCGGUAAGCCUAAAUACUUCCUGGAGACCGAUAGCGGACGAGUACCGUGAGGGAAAGAUGAAAAGUACCCCGGGAGGGGAGUGAAAGAGUACCUGAAACCGUGUGCCUACAAGCCGUCAGAGCCUUUGGGUGAUGGCGUGCCUUUUGAAGAAUGAGCCUGCGAGUUAGUGCUGCGUGGCGAGGUUAACCCGUGUGGGGUAGCCGUAGCGAAAGCGAGUCUGAAUAGGGCGAAUGAGUCGCGUGGUCUAGACCCGAAGCGGAGUGAUCUACCCAUGGCCAGGGUGAAGCGACGGUAAGACGUCGUGGAGGCCCGAACCCACUUAGGUUGAAAACUGAGGGGAUGAGCUGUGGGUAGGGGUGAAAGGCCAAUCAAACUCCGUGAUAGCUGGUUCUCCCCGAAAUGCAUUUAGGUGCAGCGUCACGUGUUUCUUGCCGGGGGUAGAGCUACUGGAUGGUCUAGGGGCCUUACCGGGUUACCGAAAUCAACCAAACUCCGAAUACCGGUUAGUGAGAGCGUGGCAGUGAGACGGCGGGGGAUAAGCUUCGUCGUCGAGAGGGAAACAGCCCAGAACACCAGCUAAGGCCCCUAAGUGUGUGCUCAGUGGGAAAGGAUGUGGGAUUGCCCAGACAACCAGGAGGUUGGCUUAGAAGCAGCCACCCUUGAAAGAGUGCGUAAUAGCUCACUGGUCAAGUGGUCCUGCGCCGACAAUGUAGCGGGGCUUAAGCACACCGCCGAAGCUGUGUCAUU